rnacentral:tRNA from 1 species
GGGCUCUUAGCUCAGCGGUUAGAGCAAGGGACUCAUAAUCCUUUGGUCACAGGUUCGAAUCCUGUAGGGCCCA